rnacentral:rRNA from 1 species
CCCAGACUCCUACGGGAGGCAGCAGUGGGGAAUAUUGCACAAUGGGGGAAACCCUGAUGCAGCAACGCCGCGUGAGUGAAGAAGUCAUUCGUGAUGUAAAGCUCUAUCAGCAGGGAAGAAAAUGACGGUACCUGAGUAAGAAGCCCCGGCUAACUACGUGCCAGCAGCCGCGGUAAUACGUAGGGGGCAAGCGUUAUCCGGAUUUACUGGGUGUAAAGGGAGCGUAGACGGCCAGACAAGUCAGAAGUGAAAGCCCAGGGCUCAACCCUGGGACUGCUUUUGAAACUGCCGGGCUGGAGUGCAGGAGAGGUAAGCGGAAUUCCUAGUGUAGCGGUGAAAUGCGUAGAUAUCAGGAGGAACACCGGCGGCGAAGGCGGCCUGCUGGACCGUGACUGACGUUGAGGCUCGAGAGCGUGGGGAGCAAACAGGAUUAGAUACCCCAGUA